UACGUAGGGGGCAAGCGUUGUCCGGAAUUAUUGGGCGUAAAGCGCGUGUAGGCGGCUCGGUAAGUCUGCUGUGAAAGUCCAGGGCUCAACCCUGGAAUGCCGGUGGAUACUGUCGAGCUCGAGUCCGGAAGAGGCGAGUGGAAUUCCUGGUGUAGCGGUGAAAUGCGCAGAUAUCAGGAGGAACACCAAUGGCGAAGGCAGCUCGCUGGGACGUGACUGACGCUGAGACGCGAAAGCGUGGGGAGCAAACAGG
rnacentral:rRNA from 1 species